rnacentral:tRNA from 1 species
GCGGGUGUAGUUCAGUGGUAGAACGCAUGCUUCCCAAGCCUGAUGUCAGGGGUUCGAAUCCCCUCACCCGCU